ACUCGAAUAGUCAAGUGGUCAAGACACCUUGAGAUUAUAGAUCGUUGAUUCGGCACUGUUUGUAUUUCAAGGAGGCGGGGGUUCAAUUCCUCCUUUGAGUG